GAAGGAGAAGAAGAAAAUGUGGCAUGUCCUUUAAUUCAAAAAAUGGCAGUUUAUUGCUGUGAGUCUAGAGAAGUCUCCAGUUUUCUUGCUGUGAAGGCAAUAAAUUAACGUUUUCCACACACCACCUAAGGCGUCUGUUGUAUGUGGUGUAGGGAACGUUCUCGAAAGCAUGUGUUCGCCUUCGGCCGGCGUUCUAGUUUAUCGUCAUGAACCUUCAAUUGCAGCUAUCCAGCCAGCUACUGUAGCUACCACGGACUCGCAGCGAUAGCAACGAGGCGACAACCUGUAACUAGUACUUUUUUUAAUUCGAAACUUUUCUACAUUUGAAACCUCGAUCAAAACAUGUCGCUAACACAAGUGGGUUAUGUUACCCACCCAACUUCCUUGGGGCAGAAUAAGACGGAAAUAGUAAAGGUGACUAGUCCAAAAACCUCCUGACGUGGAGGAUUCAGAAAGUGAUGCCAGUGCUGUAAUUGCCCUGCAAGACCAUCAAAUGGAACAGGUAGUUCACCGUCACCAUGAAGAACCCUAAGACAUUCAAAACCAAGACAUCUACCUUCAACCUCGAGCCAUCCACCACCACACAUGAGCUUCUACCAUUCCUCCAAAGAGAGUUGGCCCAUGUACGAAACAAGGUUCCAAUAUAAAGAGCUGAUGCUGCUUACUGAGAUAAGGGACACCGGCAGGCAUCAAGACCAUAGGGCAGCACAAGAAGAGGACAUCGACAUUGUACAGAUAAAAUAUCUGGCCGACUUCAUUGUCCUUGACCAGAAGAAAUUCCAAAUAUUGAAAGUUGGAUGGUUAACCCUCAAGGGAAAUAUCAAAGGGAUCGUGAAGAAGUAAUUGAAUAUUAUAUAUUUUGUACAGAAUGUAUUUUUUCUACCAGUAAUAUACAGUUGAGAAUCAGAAUGUGUCUUGAGAAACCACAAGGGGAUUCUGAGUGAUGUACGAAGUAUGGCCACGUCAAGCCUGAAAUAUGCACCUGACAAAUGCGGUGGCAGUGGCAGGAAACAGGACGGGAGGAACCAGGAUGGACAGGAAAUAUGAGAGACACAUAGCUAAAGUUCACAUAGUGGAAUAUUAUAUUUUAAUUUGUUUGGAACAUAAUUUAAGAAAAACGUUUAUUUUAAAUGUUAAAUGUAUUACUGUGGGCUGAAUAACCCAAUUGUAUGAAAUUGUCUGUAGUUUGAUUGAAAAACAGUCUAGUUUCACACUGCAUAAUAAAGGUUUCAAUCUAUGUUUUAAUAGCUCUA